AAACCGGCCCUUUUAAGGGCCACAUAAAUGUUAUUAUCAACCAUG
rfam:Oikopleura dioica, whole genome shotgun assembly, reference scaffold set, scaffold scaffold_1